UACAGAGGGUGCAAGCGUUAAUCGGAAUUACUGGGCGUAAAGCGUGCGCAGGCGGUUAUGUAAGACAGAUGUGAAAUGCCCGGGCUUAACCUGGGAACUGCAUUUGUGACUGCAUGGCUAGAGUUUGGCAGAGGGGGGUAGAAUUCCACGUGUAGCAGUGAAAUGCGUAGAUAUGUGGAGGAACACCGAUGGCGAAGGCAGCCCCCUGGGUCAAGACUGACGCUCAUGCACGAAAGGCGUGGGGAGCAAAC
rnacentral:rRNA from 1 species